UUCUUCUCUUUUCUUCUACUUUCUUCUUCUUUGCUUUCCUUCUUCUCUGUAUCUCGGCGACUGUUAAAUCUGAGAGUUGAUAUUAGGUUUCUGAGAUCGAAAUAAGGUGAGACUGAUGAUGAAUCAAGUGAAGGCGGUGUUGCUGUUUCUGGUUGAUCUUAGGAGGAAGUUGAACCGAGAAAUUACUGAGUUGGGGUUCUGUGAGUUGAAGAUGAACUGAUUCAAUUGAAUAAGAAAAUAUUAAGGUAUGGGUUUCAAUGAGUCUGAUGUGAAAUGGAAGAUUAGGGGUUUGAUUUCGAAGAAGAGCAGUUGUUCGACAGAUUUAGGAAUUAGGGUUUAGAGAUUGAGUUCAUGUUGAAAUUGAUAAGUGAUUGGGUUGUUGGUAGGUAAAGAUUAAGAGGGUUGUUAUUAAUUUGAAGUUUUGGAGUUUAUUUGAUAAGUAAUUGAAGGGUUAGAGUUGCUACAGAGGAUUGAGAAUUAAAAGAGGAUUUACUGAAGAGCUGGUAGAUUACAGUUUUGAAGAAUUUGGAUUUGAGGGUGUUAAUGGAGUUGAGUAUGAUGAUUGAAGCUGUUGAUGAAAUUAGGAUAAUUUUGGUGUUGAUUCAAGUAUUGAUGCAGACUCAGGGAAAGAUUGAGAUUAGGGUUGUGGAUUUGAUAUUUCUGGAAUUGAUUUGUGAAAGAAGAAAGAAGCAAUUUCAGUCAGGGUUCUUAAUAAAAUGAAGACUUAGGGUUCAUGGGUUUGAGUUGCACGUGAUGGAAUUUGGAUUCAGUGGAUGUUGCUACUGGGGUAAGCUUUUGAUUGCGUUAAUUUUGAUAUUUGAAGGUUGAAUCAUUGAAUUAUUAAGUUUGUAUAAUUAUUAUUGAAAGUGCGUUAUGAAGUAGAUUUGUGGAUGAAGUAGAUUGUGUUGAAUUACUGUGAACUAUAAUGAAUAGAAAGAGUGCAAGGAUGUGGUGUUGCAGAUGUUGUUGGUGCUGAGUUAUUUGAGAUGAAUGUAUGUGCUUAUGAAUUGGGAGAAUGAGAAGAAGAUGAGAUGGGUGUUUCUCUGUGAAUGGUAGUGGAUAUAAAUGGCAGGUGAUGGGGUUAAGUGGCUGAUACAUGCAGAGGAAAUUGCUGGUAGCAAUGGAACUGAAGUUGAAUUACCGGAGGCCUGAAUGGAAUGGUGUUGUGGUAAAUGUGCUGAUUGUGGAGUUAUACUAAUGUUGUAUUGCAGAAGUAGAUAUUUGAGGCAGGUGGUAUGCUUGUUGACUGGUAAUGAUGGCAGGAACUGAAAUGAGAAUAUUGGAUUGAGUUAAAGGAAGGUAGGCUGUAGCUAAGGUUAGUGAUACUGUUGUAUGGGAAUUUCAUAAGAAGCCUGGUGAUGGUUUUGUUAGUUAGAGAUGUGUUCUUGGAUGUAGUUGUAUGGCUUGAAGGCAGUCUCUAUGAAGGCUUGUAACUGCAAUUGCAGUUAGUAUUAUUAACAACGAUCGAUUCAAAGGACGAACCAGCGGAGGUAGGCGUGGCUUGUCAUCAAAAGAGGUGUUUCAGAGACAGAUCAGAGUUGCGCAGCGAAAGCCUCAAGUGUUGACUUCGUUAGUUGGUUAAUUUCUGCUAUGUAUGACCAAAUGACUAUGGUAUAUAUAUCAAUUGAGAGGAGUUCUUGUAUAUUUAUAUUUUGAGCGGGGCUAGUUUUGGGUUAAGUUUUGUAACAGAUUUCUUAAUUGAAUGCUUAAAUAUAUGAGUUAGAUUUUUGGUGCCUCUUA